rnacentral:lncRNA from 1 species
CGUGGCCGAGCUGCUGUCCCAGCGCUGCCUGCCGCCCACGGCCAGCUCAGGGGGUGCGGAGAGAGACGGGGGGAGGCGUGUGCUGGUUUGGGGGGGGGGGGGGGGAGGCUUGAGGUUUUUCUUUUAAGAAACAAACUUGAAAAACAACAAUGGGGAGACAAGAGAAGCGGCCGGUGGCCGGCUAGCAGGGCGGGCUGCUCCCAAGCGCGGCCCGGCCCGGGGAAGUUGGUGGGGAGCCGGGGAGGCCGUGGCGGCGGCUGGGCGAGAGCGCUGCCCCCGCGCCGGGCCCCGCGCCCCGCCGGCAGCCAGGCCUCUCCCCUCCCGCACGCCCAAACAUGGCCCCUCGCCACCAACCCCUGCAACUUUUUUUUUUUUUUUUUUUUUCCCCCCCUCACAACCCCCCCCACACACACACACUCCCUGCCCCCGCCCCGCUCACCUCUCAUCAGGGAACAAAAACUGCAGGCAAGUAGGCUGCGCAGGACGGCCCCCAUCUUCCUUCCCUCCUCGCUCUCACCGGCGGGGAGGCGGCGGCGAGGAGCAGCACCUCCGCUGCCAGUUCAUGCUUCCAGGCAGGCGGGGAAGGCUUGGGGGGUGGGGGUAGGGGGGGGGAGAGGCGGGGAAGGACGGCCGUGGAGAUUCCCCCCCUCGCCGGUCCCUAGCAGGCCACUUGCCCCGCCGCGCCGCCGCGGGAGCGAGCGCUGCCCUCCAUGCCGGCCGCCGCCGCCUCACCGCAACCGCCGCGGCCGUUCCCCCAUCCACCCCUCCGUUCGCUCGCCCGGCCUCCGCCUCCACCGGGCGCGCACAGGCGCAGGGAUACAGUCCUCCUCCUCCUCCUCCUCCUCCUCCUCGCCUCCGCCUCCCCGCGCCGCGCCCGGACGGCUCCUGGCUCCCGGAGCAGCGCCCGCCCCCCCCCCUCCCCGGCACCUCUCCCGUCUGGGAGGGAGCGGGCGGAGGGGCGGGGGCAGUGCGCGCUCAGCUUCUCACACAGGGACAGCCUCACACGUAACGCCCGGCCGGCCCGCGGCUGACAAAAGCCCGGCGGGGUCCGUAACCCGGAGGGACCCGGCCGGGACGCUGGGCAGGGGAGAGGGCGGGCGAGGUGGUGGUGGUGGUAGUAGUGGUGGCGGCGGCGGCGGCCGCCCCCGAGGUGGCUGCCGGCGGGCAGGGUGA